CAAUAGCGUAUAUUAAAGUUGUUGCAGUUAAAAGCUCGUAGUCGGAUUUCGGGUCGGGCCGAGCGGUCUGCCGAUGGGUAUGCACUGUUUGGCGCGGCCUUCUUUCCGGAGACCGCGGCUACUCUUAACUGAGCGGGCGUGGGAGACGGAUCGUUUACUUUGAAAAAUCAGAGUGUUUCUAGCAGGCAGCUCGCUCUUGCAUAGGUUAGCAUGGGAUAAUUUAAUAGGACUCUGGUGCUAUUUUGUUGGUUUCGAACACCGGAGUAAUGAUUAAAAGGGGCAGUCAGGGGCACUCGUAUUCCGUCGAGAGAGGUAGAAUUCUCAGACCAAGUAGGAAGACCGAACCACUGACGAAAGCUAUUUCGCCGAGGGAUUGUUUUCACUGAUACAAAGAACGUAAAGGUUAGGGGAUACGAAGACGUAUUAGACUACCA
rnacentral:rRNA from 1 species